rnacentral:rRNA from 1 species
UACAGAGGUCUCAAGCGUUGUUCGGAAUUACUGGGCGUAAAGCGCGUGUAGGCGGUUGCCAUAGUCAGGUGUGAAAGCCUUGAGCUUAACUCAAGAAAUGCACUUGAUACUGGGCGACUAGAGGACCGGAGAGGAUAGUGGAAUUCCCAGUGUAGUGGUGAAAUACGUAGAGAUUGGGAAGAACACCAGUGGCGAAGGCGGCUAUCUGGACGGUUACUGACGCUAAGACGCGAAAGCGUGGGGAGCAAACAGG